rnacentral:rRNA from 1 species
GACGAACGCUGGCGGCGUGCUUAACACAUGCAAGUCGAACGGAAAGGCCUCUUUCGGGGGGUACUCGAGUGGCGAAUGGGUGAGUAACACGUGAGUAACCUGCCCUUGACUUUGGGAUAACUUCAGGAAACUGGGGCUAAUACCGGAUAGGAGCUCCUGCUGCAUGGUGGGGGUUGGAAAGUUUCGGCGGUUGGGGAUGGACUCGCGGCUUAUCAGCUUGUUGGUGGGGUAGUGGCUUACCAAGGCUUUGACGGGUAGCCGGCCUGAGAGGGUGACCGGCCACAUUGGGACUGAGAUACGGCCCAGACUCCUACGGGAGGCAGCAGUGGGGAAUAUUGCACAAUGGGUGGAAGCCUGAUGCAGCAACGCCGUGUGCGGGAGGACGGCCUUCGGGUUGUAAACCGCUUUCGCUCAUGACGAAGCUUUGUGUGACGGUAGUGGGUAAAGAAGCACCGGCUAACUACGUG